GUCAUUUCAGAGAUAACUAUCCUUGAACUAUAUCCUGGUAAGAGUGGGCAUCUAUUCUUUAUGACAGGAGUCACUAUCAAUAUAAUUUAGGCCUGCAGAGAGAUGUUUUCUGAGAGAAACCAAUAGUACUAUUAACCAGAAGCUAAAGACAGGUAUUACUAUCACCAGAUGUUAUCUAUGGAAGACACAUGUAGAGACUCUGCCUGGGAGAAAAUGCUGAUUGAAAAUUCUCUCUGUCCAUGUAUGAGCGAUUUUAUACAGUUGACUCUCUCUUGUGAUAGAUUUUUCUUAGAAGAAAGAAUAGACGCCAAGACUAAUAUGAAGACUGAGGAGGCCUCACGAGCAUGUCAGGUGAUUUAUGGCAGGUUUGAAUUGGAGCUUAUUCAGAGUGUUACCAGUAGAGGGUGUCCAGGUUCUUGGCAUCUUGAACAAAGAAUUGGACAAAACGCACAAACGAAGCAAGGGAGAAAUGAAGGGAUUGAAAAUUAAAGUACACUCCACAGUGUGGGAGCAAGCCUGAGCAUAGGGGCUCAAGGGCCCCGUUACAGAAUUUGUAGGGGUUUAAAUACCUUCUAUGGAUUUCCAUUGGUUACUUGGUGUAUGCCCUAUGUAAAAGAAAGAAUGAAGUAAGGUUACUUACAUUUGGCGUACGCCCUAUGGAGAGGCUAUUUCCUGUCAUAGCUGAAGUGUGAAUCGGCUUUAUGUUCCCUUCCCCCAGACACUAUUUUCCUGCCUCAUUUUCUCUCUGAGAGACGUGAUCCCCAUAAAUCUUUAUAAGAGGCAGAGGGACCCACAGUCUUUCUUCUAUAACUGCUUCAUGCUGGCUUGAGAUGUAGUUCCUACCAACUGAGUAUCACAGUACUCACCCUGCUCUAUCUAGUGGGGACAGGGUUUCCUUGAUGGUCAGGGGUGGUGUCUUUCACCUGGAACUGGCUGGAACCCUUGUCACAUGAUCAUCUGAAGCUUGAUGGUCUCUAGGCAAGAGGAAAUGAAUUUGGUUAAAAGAUUUAAUGGGAACUUCAAGGAGUGGAUACCUGUGCUGUCAAGAAUGUUUGUUAUAGAGAUUUGUAUGAGAAAAACAAAACCUGGUUUGUGUUGUGUUCUAGGAUCUAUGUGUUCCCUUAAAGUCUUAGCACAAGCAACUCCAUUUUAGUUUGGUUUGGUCUGUUGAAGCCUAGUGCAUGAGCUCAGUCCAAAACAAUGGCCUUCCAUAACUUUGUUUUAAAAAAUCCCCCUUUUUGGUCAGGUUCUCACUUAGGUGAGAGGGUAACCAAAACUUAGGGCCUAAUACCACUCUCAGUUACCAUCAUUUUGGGUUUCAGUCUUAGCACGUCAUUCAUAGGUUAUGGUGUCCUCAUGGUUGCUCAUUUCUUUCAGCUCUUGUUAUUUCAGUUGAAGAGAGACCUUAUGACACUCUAGAGAUGGCUGCAUGCAAGCAUUCAAAACCUUUGAGAGAAUACAGCAUGCCAGGAAGACUAUUAUUAUGACUAAUGGGAAGAUAAUACCAAGAAUUUGGAGUAUGCUCCUUACCCAAGGUCCCCAUAAACUGAACUUCCUAAAAUCAAAUAGAUCAAAGAACGAGCUAGAUAAACACUUUACUACUUAACUAAGCAGUCCCUUUGCAAAUUCUCUACCACUGAAUUUCUAUAAUCUUCAUUUGAUGUAUUUUUCCAUAGGCCACAAGUGCCAGCAGCUGCACAGAUAAUUUUCUGUUCAGCAAAUUCUAUUAUAACUUUCACAAGACAAUUUAAAGUCUUUGUGUAACUGUAGCCUUUACAGUAAAAUUUGAGCCUAUCGUGAGGUGUACAUUUCUAAUCAUUGCUUUUUCACUUUAAACCAAGGGAAAAGGACCUAACAAAUGAUGCCCUUCUGGAAGAGUGAAGGCCUACUGGCAAUGUUCUCUUUAACCCAUGAUGUGGGCUAAGAGGAGUGAACCAAUAAAUAAAAUAAUAAAAUAAUCCAAAUUGAAUACA
rnacentral:lncRNA from 1 species